CCCUGUAUCGAAAGUGACCGUGGCGUGUCCGUUGCCAGGUCAUCGAUAAUACAGGAACAGCAAGCUGUGAGCAUUUUCCCGUGUUUGAAGGAUUUUGUGUUCCUUUUGAACCCUGGCGCUCUCAGACA
rnacentral:snoRNA from 1 species